rnacentral:rRNA from 1 species
UACGUAGGGGGCAAGCGUUGUCCGGAAUUAUUGGGCGUAAAGAGCGUGUAGGCGCCAGGUAGGUCUGCUGUGAAAACUCGAGGCUCAACCUCGAGACGUCGGCGGAAACCAUCUGGCUAGAGUCCGGAAGAGGAGAGUGGAAUUCCUGGUGUAGCGGUGAAAUGCGCAGAUAUCAGGAAGAACACCCGUGGCGAAGGCGGCUCUCUGGGACGGUACUGACGCUGAGACGCGAAAGCGUGGGGAGCGAACAGG